rnacentral:rRNA from 1 species
CCCUUAGAUGUCCUGGGCCGCACGCGCGCUACACUGAGUGUCUGAGAUACGAGUCUGCCUGGUCCGGCAAGGUCUAGGUAAUCGCUAAAGGACACAUCAUGCUUGGGAUAGAUUAUUGCAAAUAUUAAUCUUGAACGAGGAAUUCCUAGUAAGCGCAAGUCAACAGCUUGCGUUGAUUACGUCCCUGCCCUUUGUACACACCGCCCGUCGCACCUACCGAUUGGAUGGUCCGGUGAAGCCUCGGGAUUGUGGUUCUUGCCGCUUUAUUGUGGCGUGACCGCGAGAACUUGUCUAAACCUUAUCAUCUAGAGGAAGGUGAAGUCGUAACA